AACGGCCGUACCAUGCUGAAUAUACCGGUUCUCGUUAGAUCACCGAAGUCAAGCAUCAUUGGGCGCGGUCAGUACUUGGGUGGGUGACCAUCUGGGAACACCGCAUGCCGUU
rnacentral:rRNA from 1 species